GGGUGCGCUCGUCCCGUUGUCGCCGCCGCAUUUGUCCACGGAGGAACUUUGCCUGGGAGAAAGCUCCCGGCCGGUGAGUGCGGCCGCUCCUUUUAGUGCGCCGGCACUGCUCCUCCCUGUACACCCACCACACUUCCCCGCCGCGCCGCUCUCGCUUCGCCCACGCUGCCCUCUCCUCCUCGUCUCGUCCGCCCGGUCGCUGCGCCGUACAUCCACCGUCCGCCGUCGUCCGUGCCAACCGCUUUCUCGGCAUCGUCGACGGCCGGCGGCGUUGCUCCAUAGCGACGUCCUACCGUGAGUUCGGUUGAGGUCGUCGCCCCGUUGAGGUUGCUGCCCAAAGGCUGUUGCUAUUUCUCUGGUAGAUUUAGGAUUCUGUUGUGCUAGGGCAACCCGCCAGGACUGGUCUCUGCCCUGCCGAGCCCGUGGUAUAUGCUCUCAGUGAUUACAGGUCGUCCGUCUGCUGGGAUUGCCGCGUCUGGUGCCCGCGGCUGCUUCGUUUGGCCUGUUGUUCGAUUCGUCUCGUGGUUAUUUGGUAUUGUGAGUUUUUGCUGGGAUUCCUUUCUCAGGGCCACAUGAAUGUUGAGUGGUGCAACAAAGAUCAGGUGAUGAACUACUUGUUCAAGUAUGUUACAGAAGGUCCAGAUUGCUCGAAGCUAUAUUUAAAGAGGAUUAGAGGCAAAGGUGUUCCUGUAAGUAGUGAUGGUCUGACUUUGGCUCAGACUGUCAUGUCUGCUCAGGGCACCUCUGCAGCCACUGCCACUGAUAUUUUGGAUGCUCCGGCUUCUUCUUACAUGCCUACUUCUACGGCGCAACCAGCAGUGGCCUCAGCCGGAUGGAGUGGGAAAGAAGAAGAAGGUCUGACCUAGAGAGACAGAAGUGGUGCCUCUAGGCGACGGAGGCCUUACCUACCAUGGGAUUUGAGGGUUAUGUCACUCCCUUUUGUAGUGGUCGUGUACAUACGAACCAGUUUCCUGCUGCAACAGUUCUCUUGUGCGUGUUGUCUGGAUGGCUGUUCUACCCUUCGGUGACAUUAGCUCUAUGCACCUGCUUUUCGUUCACUCUAUUGGCAGCUACUUAUGCACUUUGGUUCAUUGUGUGAUCCUGUGUGAAUCCUCUGCUCUUAUUAUUAGUAGUAAGUAUGUGCUUCACCUACCUGCCUGGAGCAAGACUUUGUAAGUUCCUGAACGUAUCUAUGUCUAUGAAAAAAAGACUUGGCCUAUGUGUAAUAAGCGAUGGCUGAUGUUGCUGCUAGGAGCAUUGCUUUUGGGUUUUCCUAUUCUUGAUUUUGGGCUACUCUUUAGUUCUUUCAGCUUUCCCCAUCCGGUGUAACAAUCAAAGAGAGGUAUUUGUUGUUUU